CUGAUGAUGAUGAUGAUGAUCCAGUCACCAUCUUUCGGCUGAGCGCCUGAUGGACACCUGUUUUCACCUGACGG
rnacentral:snoRNA from 1 species